rnacentral:rRNA from 1 species
CGUGUUAAGUGGAAAAGGAUGUGGGGAUUCUAAGACAACUAGGACGUUGGCUUAGAAGCAGCCAUUCAUUGAAAGAGUGCGUAAUAGCUCACUAGUCGAGAGUCCCUGCGCCGAAAAUGUCCGGGGCUGAAACACGACACCGAAGCUUAGGAAUGUGUAAACAUUGGUAGAGGAGCAUUGCUGGCGGGAUGAAGCCAUACCGUAAGGAGUGGUGGACUGCCAGGAAGAGAGAAUGCCGGAAUGAGUAGCGAGAUGAAGGUGAGAAUCCUUCAGGCCGAAUAUCUAAGGUUUCCAGAGUAAAGCUGAUCUGCUCUGGGUAAGUCGGGACCUAAGGCGAGGUCGAAAGACGUAGUCGAUGGAUAACAGGUUGAAAUUCCUGUACCGCAUAUAAACAGAACUGUGGGGACACAGACAGGGAAUGGAAUCCGGGAAUGGAUAUCCCGGUGCAAGCGAGGUAGGAGUGCUGUUGGCAAAUCCGCAGCACGAUCUGAAGACGUGACGCGUACCGAACAUAAGUAGGGAAGUCCAGGCCCCUGGCUGUCAAGAAAAGCCGCUAUUGUUUUAUAUGUGCCCGUACCGUAAACCGACACAGGUGGAUGAGGAGAGAAUCCUAAGGCCGACGGGAGAAGUAUUGUUAAGGAACUCGGCAAAAUGACUCCGUAACUUCGGGAGAAGGAGUGCCAUGAGAGUGGCCGCAGAGAAAUGGCCCAAGCAACUGUUUAGCAAAAACACAGGUCUAUGCAAAACCGCAAGGUGAAGUAUAUGGGCUGACGCCUGCCCGGUGCUGGAAGGUUAAGGGGAGAGGUUAGCGCAAGCGAAGCUUUGAACUUAAGCCCCAGUAAACGGCGGCCGUAACUAUAACGGUCCUAAGGUAGCGAAAUUCCUUGUCGGGUAAGUUCCGACCCGCACGAAAGGCGUAAUGAUUUGGGCACUGUCUCAACGAUACACCCGGUGAAAUUGAAAUACCAGUGAAGAUGCUGGUUACCUGCGCCAGGACGGAAAGACCCCAUGGAGCUUUACUCCAGUUUGAUACUGGGAUUCGGCAUGGUAUGUACAGGAUAGGUGGGAGACUGAGAAGGUAUGACGUCAGUUGUACCGGAGUCGCUGUUGGGAUACCACCCUUACCAUGUUGGAUUUCUAACCUGUGGCCGUAAGCCGGUCAGGGGACAAUGUCAGGCGGGGAGUUUGACUGGGGCGGUCGCCUCCGAAAGGGUAUCGGAGGCGCUCAAAGGUUCCCUCAGAAUGGUUGGAAACCAUUCGAAGAGUGCAAAGGCAGAAGGGAGCUUGACUGUGACACCGACGGGUGGAGCAGGUACGAAAGUAGGACUUAGUGAUCCGGUGGUAUAAAGUGGGAUUGCCAUCGCUCAACGGAUAAAAGCUACCCUGGGGAUAACAGGCUUAUCACUCCCAAGAGUUCACAUCGACGGAGUGGUUUGGCACCUCGAUGUCGGCUCAUCGCAUCCUGGGGCUGUAGUAGGU